GCAAAGGAAAUUUGUGCUUAGACUAUUGUUAGUUGCACGAAAAGAUUGAGUUCGGUCGAGCAGAAUCCUUUGUAGAAUUAGAUUUUCGUAAGCCAAAAUUUAUGAAGUCACUGAUUCUUAGCAGUUUUACACGAUUCUGCUGCCUCAUUAGUUAUUAAACAAAGCUAAAUUCCAAGAAUCGCAGUCAAGAAUAUUGAACAAUGAGAUAACUCUUGAUUCAGUAAUUUUGAGUUAUUUAAACCGCCAGUUGGUGUUAUAAAUAUAAAGCUUAAAGAAUAUUGAUCGUAAAGCUAAAAAUACUAACAAAUUAUGUGCCAGAAGUUUCGGUAAGACAUAAAGUAUUAACAUUGUGUGAUGUUAUUUGGUGUAAAAUGCGUUUAGAUUAAAGAAGUUUACAUUUCAUAAAUUUUAGUUAAUUAACUAUAGAUGAAAAUUGACGCUUUUUUUUGAGUACCUUAAAAAGCACAUGGAACGCGUUAUGUAAAGAUAGAAUUUUUUGAUAUAACGCAGAAUAUCGUGCGCGAAAGCAGUGUGCAAAAGGAAUUUGUUGUGUUUAAUACCCCUACAUACUAACAUUUAAUCGCGAAAGUCUAAGUAGCAAAAAGGAUUUGUAACCCUUGUAGUUUAGACCGUCAACGAUGAUUGCUCUUUUACAAAAGUGAAAGUAAUUAACGUGAAAAGCAAUCUACCUGAAUAGUAUUUUCGCAAGAAUGAAACUCAAAGGAUUAGGCGUUAAGAAAAACCAUUUGUGGAUCAUGUUACUUAAUUCGAUAAUACGCGCAAACCUUACUGAUUUUUGAAUGGAAACAAGAUUAAGAGCGUUUUCUUAAAAUUUUCGUUUAUCACAAAUGUUGCAUGGUUGUCGUCAGUUCUUAUUUCACGAUGUUUGAUUAAUUUCAAAAAAGAACGUAACACUUAUUAUUUGUUAUACACCACUUACAAAUAAAAUUGCUUCUAAAAAACAAGCUGAAAGUGAGUAAAACGUCUAAAUCCUUAUGGCUUAAACAAAUCAGGCUGUAAAAUGUGAUACAUUGAAAGAAAACAGCGAGUCGUCACGUUUUCCCACGGAACAAAUCUCCAAACUCUUUCCUGGUUCGAAUUAAAGUUUGAAACUUAGCUUUAUGAAGCCGGAAUAAAUAGUAACGACUUAAAAGAACGGGGUCGUGAAAAUUAGAACUUCUUAUGCACUUAUUGCCCGUCAUUUCGAGGAAGUCCAUUCACGCUG
rnacentral:rRNA from 1 species